rnacentral:rRNA from 1 species
AUGGAGAUUGCCAUGGGGGCUAUCGGCCCUCUCCUCCCGAAGCUUGGCGAGCUGCUCAUCGGCGAGAUCACCCUGGAGAAACAAGUGAGAAAGGGCAUCGAAUCUCUCAUAACAGAGCUGAAAUUGAUGCAGGAUGUUCUCAACAAGGUGUCGAAAGAGCCGGCAGACCAGCUUGACGAGGGGGUCAAGAUCUGGGCAGGAAAUGUCAAGGAGUUGUCCUACCAAAUGGAGGACAUCGUUGAUGCUUUCAUGAUGCGUGUGGGGGAUGGCGGCGAGUCCACCAACCCGAAGAACAGAGUCAAGAAGAUACUCAAGAAGGUCAAAAGAUUAUUCAAGAAUGGCAAGGAUCUCCAUCGGAUCUCCGAUGCUCUUGAAGAAGUUGUUCUUCAAGCGAAGCAGUUGGCCGAGCUGCGUCAAAGGUACGAGCAAGAGAUGCGGGACACUAGUGCUAAUACUAGUGUUGACCCUCGCAUGAUGGCCUUGUACACAGAUGUGACAGAGCUCGUCGGCAUUAAAGAAACACGGGACAAGUUGAUCAAAAUGUUGACUGAAGGUGAUGAUUGGUCGAAGCAUCCGUUGAAGACGAUAUCUAUUGUUGGAUUUGGUGGGUUAGGCAAGACGACUCUUGCCAAAGCAGCAUACGACGAGAUCAAAGCGAAAUUUGAUCGUGUUGCUUUUGUCUCGGUUUCGCAAAACCCUAAAAUGAAAAAGGUUUUGAAGGAUAUUCUCUAUGGACUUGACAAGGUCAAGUACGAAAACAUACAUAAUGCAGCGAGGGACGAAAAGUAUCUCAUAGACGAUAUAAUUGAAUACCUUAAUGACAAGAGGUAUCUCAUCGUAAUCGAUGACAUAUGGGAUAAAGAAGUGUGGAAAUCAAUCAAGUGCGCUUUCUCCAAGAAGAGCCCUGGAAGCCGACUAAUCACGACAACCCGCAAUGUUAGUGUCUCUGAAGCAUGUUGCUCUUCUGAGGGUGAUAUUUAUAGGAUGGAACCCCUUUCUGAUGAUGUAUCAAGAACACUCUUCUAUAAAAGAGUAUUUUCUCAUGAGGAAGGGUGUCCCCAAGAGUUGGUGCAAGUAUCCAAAGACAUUUUGAAGAAAUGUGGUGGCAUACCAUUAGCUAUUAUUUCUAUAGCAAGUCUUCUGGCUAAUAAUCAUCAGAUUAAAAAAAAGGACCAAUGGUAUACCUUGCUUAAUUCCAUUGGUCGUGGAUUGACAGAAGAUCAAAGUUUGGAGGAGAUGAAAAAGAUAUUAUUAUUCAGCUAUUAUGAUCUACCCUCAUAUCUGAAACCUUGUUUAUUAUAUCUUAGCAUCUUCCCAGAAGACCACAAGAUUAUGAGAGAUAGACUGAUAUGGAGAUGGAUAUCCGAAGGUCUUGUUUACAGUGAUAAAGAAGAAACUAGCUUAUAUGAGCUCGGUAAUAGCUACUUCAAUGAGCUAGUAAAUAGAAGUAUGAUCCAGCCAAUAGGCAUUAAUGUUGAAGGAAAUGUAGAAGGUUGCCGUGUACAUGACAUGGUGCUUGACCUUAUAUGCUCAUUAUCAAGUGAAGAAAACUUUGUCACAAUACUAGAUGACACCAGAAGAAAAAUACCUAACUCAGAGAUCAAGGUUCGCAGAUUGUCCAUUCAAAAUACCAAGAUAGAUGUGGAUACCACUAGGAUGGAACAUAUGAGAUCUCUUACCAUUUUCACAAGUGAUGUUGUUGGGAAAGUGUUGGAUAUUUCAAGCUUUCAAGUUCUGCGCGUGUUGGAUUUAGAAGGUUGUAAAAAUGUCUCAGAUGUUGGGUAUGUGGGGAAUCUGUUGCAUUUGAGGUACUUGGGGCUAAAAGAUACUCAUGUUAAGGACCUUCCGAUGGAAAUAGGGAAGCUGCAGUUUUUGCUUACCUUGGACUUGAGAGGGACUAAGAUAGAAGUACUGCCAUCGAGUGUUGUUCAACUAAGACGUCUAAUGUGCCUGUAUGUUGAUUAUGAUAUGAAGCUGCCAUCUGGGAUAGGUAACCUGGCAUCCCUAGAAGUGCUAGAUGACCUGGGGUUAUCUGACGUGGACCUUGAUUUUGUGAAAGAAUUGGGCCAUCUGACCAAGCUCAGGGUGCUCCGGCUUGAUUGCUAUAGUUUUGAUGAGAGCCUGGGUAAAGCUUUGAAGGAAUCCAUUAGUAAUAUAUACAAACUGGACAGUCUAGACGUAUAUGUCGAUGAUGGACUCAUCAAUUGCCUGAGCGAAGAUUGGGUGCCUCCUCCACAACUCUGUAGAUUGGCUUUCCAGUCAGAUGUAAGUUGGUUCAAGACAUUGCCGCCAUGGAUUAAUUCUUCAUUGCUUCCUCUCCUCUCCUAUCUGCAUAUAACGGCGUUCAAAGUGCGACCGGAGGACAUCCAGCUUCUUGGCAUGCUGCCUUCUCUUCGUGUUCUCUGGGUGAUGGAUUAUUCUCAGUCCCGAAGAGGAGAGGAUGUGGUGGAAAUGCCUAUGCUUUCCUCUGGUGCGUUAUUCCCAUGUGCGACAGAGUGUAACUUCACUAGUAUUGGUGCCGUGCCGUCUAUGUUUCCACACGGAGCUGCGCCAAGGCUUCAACACCUUGGGUUCGCCUACCCAACCAAGUGGAUUUCCGGCACCUCCCUUCCCUCCAGCGAGUCAAGGUUCGUGUUAUCAACCCCCGCAAAAAGAAAAAGGUCGGUGUUAUCAUGGAGGAAGCUUAGUUUGGGUAUGCGGCACCUCCCUUCCCUCCAGCGAGUCGAAGUUGAUGUUAUCAAUGAGGGGGCUAUUUCCAGCAAUCAGGAGGUGGAUGAAGCGAUGGUUGCGCUGAACGCCGCCACGCAGGACCACCCCAACCGUCCUGCCCUUAAGAUUGAGUUUGUAGACCGUGGUGUAAGAUGUUCAUCCAGAGGCGGGCGAAGCGAGGCAUGCGAUGCGAUUGAGUUUCAGGCAGCCCGAGUGCUUAGGUCGAUUCAUCCAAUCUUGCACCCAGGUAGCAUGAGCUAA